rnacentral:rRNA from 1 species
UGAACGCUAGCUACAGGCUUAACACAUGCACGUCGAGGGGAAACGACAUCGAAAGCUUGCUUUUGAUGGGCGUCGACCGGCGCACGGGUGAGUAACGCGUAUCCAACCUGCCCAUCACUUGGGAAUAACCUUGCGAAAGUAAGACUAAUACCCAAUGAUAUCCCACGAAGGCAUCGGAAUGGGAUUAAAGAUUUAUCGGUGAUGGAUGGGGAUGCGUCUGAUUAGCUUGUUGGCGGGGUAACGGCCCACCAAGGCAACGAUCAGUAGGGGUUCUGAGAGGAAGGUCCCCCACAUUGGAACUGAGACACGGUCCAAACUCCUACGGGAGGCAGCAGUGAGGAAUAUUGGCCAAUGGGCGAGAGCCUGAACCAGCCAAGUAGCGUGCAGGAAGACGGCCCUAUGGGUUGUAAACUGCUUUUAUAAGGGAAUAAAGUGGGUCACGUGUGACUUUUUGCAUGUACCUUAUGAAUAAGGACCGGCUAAUUCCGUG